UUUUUCUUUUGGUGGUGCUGGGGAUUGAACCUAGGGCCUUGUGCAUGCGAGGCAAGCACACUACCAACUGAGCUAUAUCCCCAGUCCUUACUAUCAUGUAUAUCUAAAAACAACAAAUAUUUUUUAAAAGAAUGUAAAACAACAACAACAAAUUCCUAAGAUAAGGAUGUCUCUGAUUAACAGCAGUCCUGGAGAUCCUUUAGAUGUCUGCACUGAAAAUCUUCCUUCCAGGUUUGGUUCAGCAGGUUGUAAUGUGAAGAUAGAUCCCACAGCUAUCUGCCUUCCCAAAAGAAAUGGAUGUGGGAGCUUUUAACAGUAACACAUGAUGUAUACUGAAGAAAUCAUUUCUAGACUUUUUGGAUUUUAAUUUUUUAAAGAAUUAUAACUCCUCCCCUUCUGUUUUCUCUUUGGCGUUCAGGUGAUUGACAUUUCAAUGAUCCUGGCCGAGGCAAUCCGAAGGACACACAAUGGGGAAUCCGUGUCUUAUUUGUUCAGCCAUGUGCCACUGUAAAUGCAAAGUGAGAAGUGUCGAGCAGGCCUCCUGAGACUUCUCACUUGAUUUAUUUGCUUUUUUAGUGUUAGGACUAAGCAAUGGUAGGCUAAUCACUGGCAAAAGCAUCAGAUUUGUGUAUACUCUGAGAUUCAUUGCUUCCCCUUCUGAAGCCCAAGACUAUUUCUUUCUGGUUUAUUGGGGGAAAGGUGGUGGUUAUUUGGUAUUUAAGUGAACCAUCUUAAAUGAAUAAUGUUUUUAUCAUCUUGACUUCUUCUGAUAGGUGAUGUUUUCUUUUGUUCUUUUAGUAUUUUGAGGCGACAACUUUCAAGUAUAAAAUUCCAUUGUGGAAAUUCAUCUUUUAUGUAUUUUGAGGUUGCCAAAGGUGACUUCACAUUAAAGCCUUCUGUGUAAAUAUAUAACAAUAAUGCCUAUGGACAUUUGGGUAAAACCCUGUAUAGCCCUUUACUUUGGAGUGAAUCUUAGAAAAUUUAUAAUACCAAGAAUUUUGAAUUUUUUUUUCCUUCUUUAAAAAUGGUGUUCUGGGUUUUAAAUAGACCACCUUAACUGUUACCCUUUUGGACCAAAUUUUAUUUAGCUAAAGAUGGCCACUGACACGUUGAUUUUUGGUAGACCUUAGACAUUUCAAAGGCAAUAUAGUUCUGUAUCAUUUUUUAUUACCACUUUUAAGUGAUAUUAUAACUAUCACUUGAAAUACCAUGUCCCAAAACUCCAAAAUUAUGUUCUACAAUUGUUCUAAUUUAUAAACCAUUUUGAGUUGUGGUUGCUGAGCUCAGGGUCAUGUUUAUACUCUCCUCUGUCCACCCCAGAUAGAUAAUUCUUUAGGAUGUACCUUGUGUCCCUAUCCCUGUCAUUAUGUUUCUUUACACCAUAUUUUUAUCCAUAGCUUUCACUUUGUAUUUUUUCCAGUAAUUUUGCUUGAGGAUUUCUACUAAAAUCGAUGACUCUCUUAAAUUCCCUCAAAUUUACUAAGCUGAUCAUUAUUUUCUUUUGACACACAUAAAUGUGAAUUUUUUAUGAGUACCACCAAAUGUUUAUUUAAACAUGAGCUUUGAGUAAAUGUUCUUUUGCCCAUGGAAGUAGUAGGUCUCUGGCAAACAAGUAUCUUAACUAAAGCUGGUACACCAAAAAAAAAAUGUGUGCAGGAGAGGCCUAUGGAAAGUAAAAAUCAGUUGCUUCAUUAGGAUAAUGUUCAAAAAGUGGCUCAAAAAUUAUUGUGAAGAUUGUGAAGGGAAAAUUCACGGAGGAAUGCCUUCUCUAUAAAUGGCCCUUGAUAACAUCCUCUUAAGUGAAGUGCCUUGCUAUCUCUGUGGCAGAAGCCAAGUGUUGACUCUCUGAAUUUAUUAUAUGCAUGUCGGUAGACAACCAACUGAAUUCAUCAUCCCCCAAAGAACAGGAUUCUCCUGCAUAAAAAGCCUAGUAAUGAGAAAAACAAUCCCCUCUGCUGAAUCUUUUGUCCACUGUUUUAUUGGAACUGGAGAUUAAAACCUCCUCUGCUGAGUCUUAAAACUUAUAGAAAAUAAAUGGUCUGAUAGAAAUUCUUCAGGUAGAAAAAUCAAACCUAAGUCAUUAACAAACUUGAACAGCAGUCUUUAGAAUUUCAAAAUUCAAGACAGCAGAAGUUGUAGUUAGAAAAUAUCAUUUAAAUUGUUACUGAAACUAGCAUUUUGUUGUACCUUAAAAUGGUUUCUGAGAAAGAGUGAUGGAACCUGAUAAAAAGUCAGCUCUGCAGAGCAGAUUGACUCUGUCUAGAAAGAGUUGACUGGAGAUGGGUAAAGAACCUAUAUGGAUGCUUUGGAAUUUUCCUUUUUGAUAAAUGUCUAACAUCUGUAUUCCAUGGGAUUUCUAUGCUUGUGUGAAAUGAAAACAAUUGUAAAUGCUUAUGUAGACAGCUUAACAUACAAGUAUGCAAGUUCAGGUGUGUUGACUAAAGACAGUUGAUUUAAAGGUGACCAUUUUAUCUAAGAUACUGAAAGUUUAAGAAUUUAUAGAACUAGUUUUCUAAUAAUGAUUUCCAGGUAUAAAAAAUGGUUACUAUCAUUAUUUAGCCCCACUUUUGCAUUUCAAAAUACUCCUGAAUACAUUUAUGAACUAAUUAAAUUGGACUUGACCUUACACCGUGGAAAUACAGGUUUUAACUAUUCAGUGGUUUCCAGUUGACAGAAGUGAUGAAGAGUGCCUUGUGAACAGCCUAAUCCCAGAACAUUCUCAUUCCUUGCUGUUCAUGGUGUGAAAACUUAAAUGAAACCACCAAAAUGCAUCAGUCCUGUCUAACUCUCCUGAUUGGGAGUAAACUUUGCAUAUAUCUAGCCAAAAAGGGGAGCCACCAAAAUAUGAAUAUACCAAAGUUGUUUAGCCUCCAAUUUAAAUUAUACUAGUCAACUUAUAGAUGUUCACAUGAUAACUGUUCUUUAUUAGAUAUGAUGCCAACUAGAUUCAUGAAUGUAUCAUUUGCAGUGCUUGCAUUGGUUAGAAUCUAGGAUUUUAAGAUCCUACAGUGUACUAAAACAUUUCAAUAAAAUCCUGCUGACUACUUUGUUUCAUAGUUUGCAUCAUUUUGGUAGAGU
rnacentral:lncRNA from 1 species